CUCAGGCAAUCAGCGUCUGGGGGGGGCAGCCCCCCAGUCUGGCUUGACAACGACGACCGCAGCAGCAACAGAGAUCGUGCCAAUAGCAAUAGGCGCCGUGGGCGCAACUCAGAACACCUGGAGCACCACUGGGAGAGCAUCGGCGCUGGCAAAACCGGUCCACUGCAAAAGGCAGCUGUACCUGGAACAACUCACACCCUGCCGCCAUAGCUUGAAUCUUAUCAAACAUCUGCCUGCCCCAGGUCCUUGGGAAGGACUCAACAGAAACUGUUGGUGAGAGUUGCACACGUUGCUAUGGUUCUCUUGGCAUAUGCUAAUUUGGACACACUUGGGAGAACACCUGUAGGCUGCAAAGACCAUUGAUCAGGAACUGUGACUUCUGUCCUUUGUUCAGCAGAAGCAAAAAUGCUGUUGAGGAGAAGCUACGCUCUGACACAGUUGCUGUGACCCCAGUCCAGGAAAGCAUGAUGGAAAUAAG